UCUUGAAUGGCAAGCACUUUGGAGGCUAGG
rnacentral:piRNA from 1 species